rnacentral:rRNA from 2 species
UCUGGUGUCAGCCGCCGCGGUAAAACCAGCACCUCAAGUGGUCAGGAUGAUUAUUGGGCCUAAAGCAUUCGUAGCCUGCUUUGUUAGUUUUCGGUUAAAUCCAUACGCUCAACGUAUGGGCUGCCGGGAAUACUGCAAAGCUAGGGAGUGGGAGAGGUAGACGGUACUCGGUAGGAAGGGGUAAAAUCCUUUGAUCUAUUGAUGACCACCUGUGGCGAAGGCGGUCUACCAGAACACGUCCGACGGUGAGGGAUGAAAGCUGGGGGAGCAAACCGGAUUAGAUACCCGGGUAGUCCCAGCUGUAAACUAUGCAAACUCGGUGAUGCAUUGGCUUGAUGCCAAUGCAGUGCCGCAGGGAAGCCGUUAAGUUUGCCGCCUGGGAAGUACGUACGCAAGUAUGAAACUUAAAGGAAUUGGCGGGGGAGCACCACAAGGGGUGAAGCCUGCGGUUCAAUUGGAGUCAACGCCAGAAAUCUUACCCGGAGAGACAGCAGAAUGAAGGUCAAGCUGAAGACUUUACCAGACAAGCU